GACGAACGCUGGCGGCGUGCCUAAUACAUGCAAGUUGAGCGCUGAAGGUUGGUACUUGUCCCGACUGGAUGAGCAGCGAACGGGUGAGUAACGCGUGGGGAAUCUGCCUUUGAGCGGGGGACAACAUUUGGAAACGAAUGCUAAUACCGCAUAAAAACUUUAAACACAAGUUUUAAGUUUGAAAGAUGCAAUUGCAUCACUCAAAGAUGAUCCCGCGUUGUAUUAGCUAGUUGGUGAGGUAAAGGCUCACCAAGGCGAUGAUACAUAGCCGACCUGAGAGGGUGAUCGGCCAAAUUGGGACUGAGACACGGCCCAAACGCCUACGGGAGGCAGCAGUAGGGAAUCUUCGGCAAUGGACGAAAGUCUGACCGAGCAACGCCGCGUGAGUGAAGAAGGGUUUCGGAUCGUAAAACUCUGUUGGUAGAGAAGAACGUUGGUGAGAGUGGAAAGCUCAUCAAGUGACGGUAACUACCCAGAAAGGGACGGCUAACUACGUG
rnacentral:rRNA from 1 species